GGGCCUGAACCAAGCCACUGGCAGUGGGGAAGAAAAUGGGGAGACAGUGGAGAUAGUAAGGAGACGGAUCCAACAGGUUGGAGGGGUGGAGACACCGUUCCCAGGAACACGGGAAGAAGAGCAGGAAUGGAAGUAGGGACACAGGGAAACAAGGAGUUUACUCUUAGUCUUUCAGUUUUAGACACGCCAAGUGUGAAGGACGAUGGCAGGACAUCAGAAUGUGUGCCAGACCAGCAGGGACAAACAAGCUGUGCCACCCUCCUCAGAAUUCAGAGGCUGCCACCAGUGCAAGACAAGUGAUGUGGAAUGUGUUUCCAAGAGACCAACGAACCAGCUCUGGAGUGCGGCAUUGUAGCAACAGAGAUGUCUGCCAAAUGACAGAGCACAUAAAAGGGAGAGCCCAUAAUUAAUCUGCACGGAGCGUCCGAUUCUUGGCAAGCUUAAUGAGCUGCUGUUGGCCCUGCACAUCGACACGGCACUCUCUAAUUCCUCCACACAUCAAGCAAAUGGAUAUGAACCCAAGGUGGGGGAAAUAGGCGUCGUCCACAGCUCAGAUCUGCGGGAUCCUGAGUACAGGGAUGGAAAGCCCCCGGGAUCCCCUGAACAGGUGCAGCAACAGCAGGAAGGAUGCUAACUGAAGAGGAAAUGGUUAUAUCUUUUUAAUUACAUGGCAGAGCCAUUCCCUGCCUGACCAGCAGAGCAACACAUAGAGACGGUUGUCGUUUUGCUUUAGAAAAACGGAGUCUUUUCACUCCCUGCCACUUGUUUAUUUCUGCGCAGUCCUGUGUGAGAGAUCACUCAAUCACUAUGGUCUACACUUGCUUCCUUAACUCUAUCUCCCCCCGAAACCCAGGCAAUCAGAGGAUUGACAGGAAAGACAACAUCUAAUUUUUGCAGAUGCUCGCCAGCUCCCCUGGAGUAUACGUAAAGAAGGCUGCAUUUUGUGGCAGAAAAGCUCCUCUCAUCUUCUGCCCGACCCUGCUCCUCUUGGGAAUCCAGCUGUCCUCUGCCAUGCACGCCCAGCAGUCCAGCCAUGAUGCCGGCAGGCAGCAGAAGGAGAACAAGGGGCCCUCCAGAGAACGCGUGUUUUUUAAUAAGAAUCUGUCUCCCUUGGAUGUGCAUAUGUAAAUAUGCAAUACAAUCACAGACAAGGACGCAGGAGGCUUCCUCCUCCCUGUUCCAGCAUUCGAGGCCAAUCCCCAGCUCCACUUAGGGCCAAGUGGGCAAUCAUGGGUUCAGCAGUCUACACUGGACUUCCGGGGCACACCUGCAGGAAGACUUGGCUGGAGAGAGACCCCAAAGGCUACACUGUUCCCCGCUGCGUAUCUAGAAGGCACAGGGCAGCAUUGGGUUGAUACUGGACAUUGGACAAAAGAUAGGAAGGUUCAAGGGAGAAGCUCAAAAGAGAAUGCUGUCUGUUUGAAAUGCUCACCGACCCACGUCAGCCUAUCCAGCUGCUACUCAUCCUUCAAAGCUCAGUUCACAAUGUCCUCCUUAUUGCAGAUUUCCCUGCCCCAUGCACCCAGCCUCUCUCAUAGAUUCCUGGCUCCUUUCUGUGUUCCUAGAACAGAAACAGUCAUGGUCUCCCCAGCC
ensembl:lncRNA